rfam:Schistosoma mansoni strain Puerto Rico chromosome 3, complete genome
AUCCAGCCGACGAGUCCCAAAUAGGACUAAACGCGCGUCCUGGAU